rnacentral:rRNA from 1 species
CCUACGGGUGGCAGCAGUGGGGGAUAUUGCACAAUGGGGGAAACCCUGAUGCAGCAACGCCGCGUGUGGGAAGAAGGUCCUCCGAUUGUUAACCACUUUUUUUGGUGAAGUUAAUGACGCUAACCAAGGAGAAAGCUACGGCUAAUUCCGUUCCAGCACCCGCGGUAAUACGUAGGGAGCAGGCGUUGUCCGGAUUUACUGGGUGUAAAGGGUGCGUAGGCGGUCUUGCAAGUCAGACGUGAAAACCACAGGCUCAACCUGUGGACUGCGUUUGAAACUGUGGGGCUUGAGUGGAGUAGAGGUAGGCGGAAUUCCCGGUGUAGCGGUGAAAUGCGUAGAGAGCGGGAGGAACACCAGUGGCGAAGGCGGCCUACUGGGCUUUAACUGACGCUGAGGCACGAAAGUAUGGGUAGCAAACAGGAUUAGAUACCCGUGUAGUC